ensembl:miRNA
ACGGUCUCGCUUUCGAGGCUUGUUUUAAGUUGCCUGCGACUCUUAUUUGGACACAGGCAGCUAAAGCAAGUCUGGGACGCCGGUGACACACCGAC